UACAGAGGUUGCAAGCGUUAAUCGGAUUUACUGGGCGUAAAGCGUGUGUAGGUGGUUAUACAAGUCGGUUGUGAAAUCCCCGGGCUUAACCUGGGAAUUGCAUUGGUGACGGCACGGCUAGAGUGUGUCAGAGGGGGGUAGAAUUCCACGUGUAGCAGUGAAAUGCGUAGAGAUGUGGAGGAAUACCGAUGGCGAAGGCAGCCCCCUGGGAUAACACUGACGCUCAUGCACGAAAGCGUGGGGAGCAAACAGG
rnacentral:rRNA from 1 species